UACGUAGGGUGCGAGCGUUGUCCGGAUUUAUUGGGCGUAAAGAGCUCGUAGGCGGUUUGUCGCGUCGGCCGUGAAAUCUCCACGCUUAACGUGGAGCGUGCGGUCGAUACGGGCAGACUAGAGUGCGGGAGAGGAGAGUGGAAUUCCUGGUGUAGCGGUGAAAUGCGCAGAUAUCGGGAGGAACACCGGUGGCGAAGGCGGUUCUCUGGGCCUUACCUGACGCUGAGGAGCGAAAGCGUGGGGAGCGAACAGG
rnacentral:rRNA from 1 species